rnacentral:rRNA from 1 species
ACAUCCAGAGAAUUUAGCAGAGAUGCUUUAGUGCCUUCGGGAACUCUGAGACAGGUGCUGCAUGGCUGUCGUCAGCUCGUGUUGUGAAAUGUUGGGUUAAGUCCCGNAACGAGCGCAACCCUUAUCCUUUGUGCCAGCACGUAAUGGUGGGAACUCAAAGGAGACUGCCGGUGAUAAACCGGAGGAAGGUGGGGAUGACGUCAAGUCAUCAUGGCCCUUACGAGUAGGGCUACACACGUGCUACAAUGGCGCAUACAAAGAGAAGCGACCUCGCGAGAGCAAGCGGACCUCAUAAAGUGCGUCGUAGUCCGGAUUGGAGUCUGCAACUCGACUCCAUGAAGUCGGAAUCGCUAGUAAUCGUAAAUCAGAAUGUUACGGUGAAUACGUUCCCGGGCCUUGUACACACCGCCCGUCACACCAUGGGAGUGGGUUGCAAAAGAAGUAGAUAGCUUAACCUUCGGGAGGGCGUUUACCACUUUGUGAUUCAUGACUGGGGUGAAGUCGUAACAAGGUAAGCGUAGUGCU